AUAGCACUGCCCGGGGAGAUACCAUGAUCACGAAGGUGGUUUUCCCAGGGUGAGGUUUAUCCAUUGCGCUCUGGAUGUGCUGACCCCUGAGAUUUCCCCAGAUGUAGAACACUCAGCUACCUAACUUGUGAUAGUGGGGGACUGCAUUCACGCUCUCCGCUG